GAGUUUGAUCCUGGCUCAGAACGAACGCUGGCGGCACGCCUAACACAUGCAAGUCGAGCGCACCUUCGGGUGAGCGGCGGACGGGUUAGUAACGCGUGGGAACAUACCCUUUUCUACGGAAUAGCCUCGGGAAACUGAGAGUAAUACCGUAUACGCCCCUCGGGGGAAAGAUUUAUCGGUGAAGGAUUGGCCCGCGUCUGAUUAGAUAGUUGGUGGGGUAAUGGCCUACCAAGUCGACGAUCAGUAGCUGGUUUGAGAGGAUGAUCAGCAACACUGGGACUGAGACACGGCCCAGACUCCUACGGGAGGCAGCAGUGGGGAAUCUUAGACAAUGGGCGAAAGCCUGAUCUAGCGAUGCCGCGUGAGUGAUGAAGGCCUUUAGGGUCGUAUAGCUCUUUCGCCAGGGAUUGAUAAUGACAGUACUUGGCAAAGAAACCCCGGCUAAUUCCGGGCAGCAGCCGCGUAAUACGAGGGGUGCAAGCGUUACUCGGAAUCACUGGGCGUAAAGCGCGCGCAGGCGGCUAAUUAAGUUUGGAUGUGAAAGCCUACGGCUCAACCGUAGAACUGCAUCCAAAACUAUUUAGCUAGAGUGUGGGAGAGGAAGAUGGAAUUAGUUGUGUAGGGGUAAAAUCCGUAGAGAUAACUAGGAAUACCAAAAGCGAAGGCAAUCUUCUGGAACAUUACUGACGCUGAGGCGCGAAAGCGUGGGGAGCAAACAGGAUUAGAUACCCUGGUAGUCCACGCCCUAAACGAUGAAUGUUAGUCGUCGGGUAGCUAGUCUAUUCGGUGAUGCAGCUAACGCAUUAAACAUUCCGCCUGGGGAGUACGGUCGCAAGAUUAAAACUCAAAGGAAUAGACGGGGACCCGCACAAGUGGUGGAGCAUGUGGUUUAAUUCGAAGAUACGCGAAGAACCUUACCUAGCCUUGACAUAUAUUAGAACUCACCAGAGAUGGAGAGGUGCCUUCGGGAGCUUUUAUACAGGUGCUGCACGGCUGUCGUCAGCUCGUGUCGUGAGAUGUUGGGUUAAGUCCCGCAACGAGCGCAACCCUCGUCACUAGUUACUAACGGUUCGGCCGAGGACUCUAGUGAGACUGCCUUCGUAAGGAGGAGGAAGGUGUGGAUGACGUCAAGUCCUCAUGGCCCUUACGGGUUGGGCUACACACGUGCUACAAUGGCAUCUACAGUGAGUUAAUCUCCAAAAGAUGUCUCAGUUCGGAUUGGGGUCUGCAACUCGACCCCAUGAAGUCGGAAUCGCUAGUAAUCGCGUAACAGCAUGACGCGGUGAAUACGUUCCCGGGCCUUGUACACACCGCCCGUCACACCAUGGGAGUUGGGUCCACCCGAAGGCCGUGCGCCAACCUGCUUGCAGGGGGCAGCGGACCACGGUGAGCUCAGCGACUGGGGUGAAGUCGUAACAAGGUAACCA
rnacentral:rRNA from 1 species